GCUGCAGCAAGCAUGGCUGAGUAUUGUUCACUUUCCUUCCUGUUUUUUUCUGGUGUUUUUCUGUCAUGGUUGUGUCCUUUUCUAAUUUUAAUUGUGUGUCUUUAAAUGUUAGGGUCUGAGAGAUGAUGGUAUUAAAAGAAAAUCAAUAUUUCUUUUUUGCAAAAAUACAAAUGCUAACUGCAUAUUUUUUACAAGAAACUCACUCUAUUAAGGCAGAUGAGAACUUCUGGUCAAAUCAAUGGGGGAAAAAAAUUUUUUUUAUCUAGUUCAGCGUGUAAUCCAGUGCCAUCCACGAGAAAUUACAUUGAAGCAAUGCUUUUUCGCCGCAGUUUGUGAUGAAGGAUGUCAACAGUAUAUGGUCAAACUUACUUCACGACUCCAUCUCGUCAUUUUGCUGUGGUUUAUCUCGGUGUUAACUCAGAGUUGCUACACUUUGACAAGAACACUACAUUAAGAUUUAUAAAACUUAAAGACAAGAAAUGCAAGUCUGUUUUGUCUUUCACAAGAUGCUACACUCGCUGAUUUGAUGGCAAUGCUCGGCGGCUCCCAAGAGACCGGCUCUCAGCUGAACCGACCCAAUCCAAGCUGGAACCUGCUAACUGAUGCCUUCUGAGAGAAAUUGCACUCCAUUUGUACUUUCAAAAACAUUUGCAGAUCCAACAUCCUCUUUCAUUUGUACUGUAUGUGUGUUGCUAUUGUCAUAGACGUGGCCUAAACGUACACUUUAUUGUAAAUUACUUUAACAGCUGGUAUACAGAUGGAACGAUGAGUAUUUUAUUACCUCAGAGCAUCACUAUAGAACCCCUCGCUGUAAAUGCAAUGUUUUUUUGUUUUUUUUAGAGUUAAAAAAAACUUGAGGUUUUUUUAAGUGAGUAAAAAAACCUCACUUAAUACGUAUGUCAGCUUCACGGAGGUCAAAACCUUCAUAUCAGGAAGCCUUCGUGCACAGAUUUCAAAAGUUGUGUGAGUAGGAUGGAACUGAACUACUUAGUGCUCUGUUUGUGCCAUUAAAAUUUGUGUUAGUUCAGCAUUGGUUUCUGAAAUAUCAAAAAUUAUUUCAUCCAGUGUUAACCAUUCCCCCAUGUUGCUCCCAAAGUGGGCAACUUUGUUAGAGCAGCUUUCCUAUUUGAGAUAUCCAAUAUAAUUUGACAGUCAAAAAAGAAACCAUGUUGAAUUGAACAAUGAACUUUAAUAAUUCAAACAAUAACACCAACAAACAGUGUCUUGGAAAGUAAUUGCUCCUGUCUUGAAUAUAAAACUCCUUUCAUUUGAGACUUAUACUGUGGCCCUGAGGUGCAAACCACUUCAACAUCAACGAAGCACAAUUACAAAUUCAAAAAUCAAAACUAAUUAUUUAAUAUAUUGACUUCAGGCCUAGUUACAAAACCACACCAUUCUUCUAAUGAAUUUCAUGCCUAGAUUUUGGGUUUUAUCUUGUACAUAUUUUUUUUCAUCCUCUGACUCUGAUAUCAUAGCCAGACAUCAGAGUCAGGCUAUGAUUUAUUAUUAUUAUUUUUUUUUUUUUUUUAGCAAAAUACAAGAAAAAGUCAUUUUAUUAAGAAGAAAGCUGUUAGGGUUCUAGUUGUCUAGUGGUUAGCAGCACCACCAGUGGUGGCAGCAACUGACAACUGGAUCCAAUGGAUCCGGCUGAUGGGUCAUCCUCCCAAAUGGCACCUCGCGGAUUAUGCUUCACAGCUUCAUUCUCGCCAUUUUGGAUCAUUCACAGACAAUUCUACACGGGAGCUGUUCCUGCGUCUUUAAAUUCCAAGCUGAACCCAUAA